rnacentral:rRNA from 1 species
AUGGAGCAGGAGGUGGUUGCGGGGAUGAAGCAGAAGAAGUGCUGCCCGCUCCGGCGGUCGCGCAAGGGCUGCAUGAAGGGCAAGGGCGGCCCGGACAACCAGCAGUGCCCCUUCCGCGGCGUCCGCCAGCGCACCUGGGGCAAGUGGGUCGCCGAGAUCCGCGAGCCCAACCGCGGCGCCCGCCUCUGGCUCGGCACCUUCGCCACCGCGCUCGACGCCGCGCGCGCCUACGACGCCGCGGCCAGGGCGCUCUACGGCGACUGCGCCCGCCUCAACCUCUCGGCGUCGCCGUCCCAGAUGCAGCAGCACCCUCCAGCUCAAGGCAGUGGUGGCGCCAAUGGUAAUUCGGCGCCAGGGACACCGUGCUGCUCCUCCAACAACUCCAACUCCAGCGCGUCGACCCCGACCGGGACUCCCACGGACAUGGACUGCAGCGCCUGGAUGCAGCCGUCUUACUGUUACAGCACGGCGGAGGCGCCGGAGGACUUCGAGGCGUACGUGACGCGACUGCCCAAGGCGGAGGACUUCGGACUGGAGGGGUUCCAGGAGGUGCCCCUGGAAGUGCUGGCCGAAGCCGGAGGAGGGGUCAGCAUAUGGGACCUCUCCAUCGCCCCUGACAUGGCUGCAGCAGCCGCUUCUUCAGCUGCUGCCAGUGCCUGCACUGUCCCCCAACAGCCGCUGCAGCAACCCAGCUGCUGA